ensembl:lncRNA
CAGUAAUGCACCAACAGGAAUCGCAGAGCUCAGAACAGACUAUUUUGCUAGGAAUAACAGAAAUGUUUUCUUCUUAUUAAAAUCACAAAAGCCUAUUCUCUGAGCAAAUUUGCCUUCACUUGACUGGUGGUAAUGACAGUGGAGGGAACAACUGGUCUUUCCCAUGAGGAUUUUCCACCUUUCUGGGUUUGUGCUGAAUAAACCUCUACCAAGAAUGUGUCUCCAGUGGCCUAAUCCUCUGCUUUGUGACUGAUGAUGUUUACUCAUAUAGACAACAUUAAGACCAAUCACAAACAGGAAUGGAUCUUCCCAUGGUGGAGACUGCUCAACAUAAUCCUUUAUGAGAAACUUGUUUUCACAAACAACAAUGACAACAUGGAAGGAUGUGAUAAUUCAGCAUUUUACUUGUUUUUUUUUUCCAUUUACAAAUCUAACACAAAUGAUCAAUGACCUUUAAUUACAUGCUUUAUCUUUGAAUUUGUAUCAUUCUCCAAUGUAGCCAUUUCUGUUAGAAAGUCCUUACCUUUCUCCCUUUAUUUAUGGCAUCUCUCUGUGUUUUUUGUUUUUUUUUUGCAUUUGAAGAACCUGAAUGGUAAAUUACAUAACCGCAACCAUUAUAGACUGUUACUCACAGAUGUGUUUAGUUUUGCAGAGGAUAAGAUCAGUUCUCCAUGUAGGCAGUACUAAUAAUGCUGUUUGUGGUCAAUGGCAGUUUCCCAUCAUCUCAGUUCACUAAGGAUGUAUUAAUAAAACUUCUUUUUUUGCCCACUUACAAUUUGCCAAGAAUUGUCUCCAGUGGCUAAGUUGCCUGUCU